ensembl:lncRNA
GUAACAUGGGUGAGAGGUGGAAGGUCACAUGGGGGGGAGAGGUGGAAGGUGACAUGGGGAGAGGUGGAAGGUCACAUGGGGGAGAGGUGGAAGGUGACAUGGGGGGAGGUGGAAGGUGACAUGGGGGAGAGGUGGAAGGUGACAUGGGGGAGAGGUGGAAGGUGACAUGGGGAGAGGUGGAAGGUAACAUGGGGGUGAGGUGGAAGGUAACAUGGGGGUGAGGUGGAAGGUCACAUGGGGGUGUGGUGGAAGGUCACAUGGGGGUGAGGUGGAAGGUAACAUGGGGGUGAGGUGGAAGAUGAUAUGGGGGAGAGGUGGAAAGUGACAUGGGGAGAGAGGUGGAAGGUAACAUGGGGGGUGUGGUGGAAGGUCACAUGGGGGGUGAGGUGGAAGGUGACAUGGGGGAGAGGUGGAAGAUGACAUGGGGAGAGAGGUGGAAGGUAACAUGGGGGGUGAGGUGGAAGGUGACAUGGGGGAGAGGUGGAAGAUGACAUGGGGAGAGGUGGAAGAUGACAUGGGGAGAGGUGGAAGAUGACAUGGGGAGAGAGGUAGAAGAUGACAUGGGGAAGUUCACAUGGGGGAUGAGGUGGGUGGUGGGUGGGAGCUAGAUUAGGUGAAGGGUCAGGAGGAGGUAGUGGGAUUGGGUGGAUAAUGGACCCAGGUCAGAGGGAGGGUAUGUAUGUGUUUCAACACCUCUACUGUUCCAGGCUGGAUCAGUAAUGACCUCUGACCCUGCUCUGACCUACUGAUCUUUACCCUAUUAUAUCAGAUUAGAUAUACACUUAGUGUUAUAUUUCAGCGUAGCAAAACACUGAAUACUGGAGUAGGUUCUGAGAGAAAUGAAUCAGCAAGACACUGUGGAUACUGGAGUAGGUACUGAGAGAAAUGAAUCAGCAAGACACUGUGGAUACGGGAGUAGGUUCUGAGAGAAAUGAAUCAGCAAGACACUGUGGAUACUGGAGUAGGUACUGAGAGAAAUGAAUCAGCAAGACACUGUGGAUACUGGAGUAGGUUCUGAGAGAAAUGAAUCAGCAAGACACUGUGGAUACUGGAGUAGGUUCUGAGAGAAAUGAAUCAGCAAGACACUGUGGAUACUGGAGUAGGUUCUGAGAAAAAUGAAUCUAUGGUAUAACAAGACCAAAAUGAUGUCAUGGAUGAAUCGUGUGUGUGUGAGAGAGCGAUCAUAACCUCCUCUCUGAGCCUGUAACUGAUCUCCCUCCUGCUGUGGCCCUGGGAGGUGGUCUGCAGGAGGGAACUCUCUCGGUGCUUCCACACACCUUGGCUGGGAUCCUAUCCCACAAUCCAAGGCCUCAGAGGGAGGUCCUCCUGUGUCCUAGUCCUGGCUCUCACACACAUUCACAGAAGCAGCUGAACUGUUGACUUCUUCCCUCAGCCCCAACCAUCAUUAUCUUAUGUUAUCUGGAAGGGAUUACUCUCUAGCUCAACCCUCUUGCAACUAGUGAUGAUAACAUUUAUGGGUCAGCCAUAAAGUGGAGAUCUAUAAUAUGUCCUCAUCUGGUACCCAUCUCUUUGCAGUUUCCAUGAGGUCUUAGUGUUAGCACUGAGUGAAUUUUUUUAAAUUUAACUAGGCAAGUCAGUUAAGAACAAAUUCUUAUUUACAAUGACAGCCUAGGAACAGUGCCUUGUUCAGGGGCAGCAUGACAUAUUUUUACUUUCUCAGCUCGGGGAUUCGAUCUUGCAACCUUUCAGUUACUGGCGCAAUGCUCUAACCACUAGGCUACCUGUCUCUAACCACUAGGCUACCUGUCUCUAACCACCAGGCUACCUGUCUCUAAACACUAGGCUACCUGUCUCUAACCACUAGGCUACCUGUCUCUAACCACUAGGCUACCUGUCUCUAAACACUAGGCUACCUGUCUCUAAACACUAGGCUACCUGUCUCUAACCACAAGGCUACCUGUCUCUAACCACUAGGCUACCUGUCUCUAACCACAAGAC